rnacentral:rRNA from 1 species
AUUGAACGCUGGCGGCAGGCCUAACACAUGCAAGUCGAGCGGUAACACAGAGGAGCUUGCUCCUUGGGUGACGAGCGGCGGACGGGUGAGUAAUGCCUGGGGAUCUGCCCGAUAGAGGGGGAUAACUACGGGAAACUGUAGCUAAUACCGCAUAAUGUCUACGGACCAAAGUGGGGGCUCUUCGGACCUCAUGCUAUCGGAUGAACCCAGGUGGGAUUAGCUAGUUGGUGAGGUAAUGGCUCACCAAGGCGACGAUCUCUAACUGGUUUGAGAGAAUGACCAGUCACACUGGAACUGAGACACGGUCCAGACUCCUACGGGAGGCAGCAGUGGGGAAUAUUGCACAAUGGGGGAAACCCUGAUGCAGCCAUGCCGCGUGUGUGAAGAAGGCCUUCGGGUUGUAAAGCACUUUCAGCGAGGAGGAAAGGUUGGUAGCUAAUAACUGCCAGCUGUGACGUUACUCGCAGAAGAAGCACCGGCUAACUCCGUGCCAGCCGCCGCUGUAAAAC